rnacentral:rRNA from 1 species
CCGUAUUAGCUAGUUGGUGGGGUAACGGCCUACCAAGGCGACGAUACGUAGCCGACCUGAGAGGGUGAUCGGCCACACUGGAACUGAGACACGGUCCAGACUCCUACGGGAGGCAGCAGUAGGGAAUCUUCCGCAAUGGGCGAAAGCCUGACGGAGCAACGCCGCGUGAGUGAUGAAGGUCUUCGGAUCGUAAAGCUCUGUUGUUAGGGAAGAACAAAUGUGUAAGUAACUGUGCACAUCUUGACGGUACCUAACCAGAAAGCCACGGCUAACUACGUGCCAGCAGCCGCGGUAAUACGUAGGUGGCAAGCGUUAUCCGGAAUUAUUGGGCGUAAAGCGCGCGUAGGCGGUUUUUUAAGUCUGAUGUGAAAGCCCACGGCUCAACCGUGGAGGGUCAUUGGAAACUGGAAAACUUGAGUGCAGAAGAGGAAAGUGGAAUUCCAUGUGUAGCGGUGAAAUGCGCAGAGAUAUGGAGGAACACCAGUGGCGAAGGCGGCUUUCUGGUCUGCAACUGACGCUGAUGUGCGAAAGCGUGGGGAUCAAACAGGAUUAGAUACCCUGGUAGUCCACGCCGUAAACGAUGAGUGCUAAGUGUUAGGGGGUUUCCGCCCCUUAGUGCUGCAGCUAACGCAUUAAGCACUCCGCCUGGGGAGUACGGUCGCAAGACUGAAACUCAAAGGAAUUGACGGGGACCCGCACAAGCGGUGGAGCAUGUGGUUUAAUUCGAAGCAACGCGAAGAACCUUACCAAAUCUUGACAUCCUUUGACCGCUCUAGAGAUAGAGUUUUCCUCUUCGGAGGACAAAGUGACAGGUGGUGCAUGGUUGUCGUCAGCUCGUGUCGUGAGAUGUUGGGUUAAGUCCCGCAACGAGCGCAACCCUUGAACUUAGUUGCCAUCAUUCAGUUGGGCACUCUAAGUUGACUGCCGGUGACAAACCGGAGGAAGGUGGGGAUGACGUCAAAUCAUCAUGCCCCUUAUGAUUUGGGCUACACACGUGCUACAAUGGACAAUACAAAGGGCAGCGAAACCGCGAGGUCAAGCAAAUCCCAUAAAGUUGUUCUCAGUUCGGAUUGUAGUCUGCAACUCGACUACAUGAAGCUGGAAUCGCUAGUAAUCGUAGAUCAGCAUGCUACGGUGAAUACGUUCCCGGGUCUUGUACACACCGCCCGUCACACCACGAGAGUUUGUAACACCCGAAGCCGGUGGAGUAACCAUUUUGGAGCUAGCCGUCGAAGGUGGGACAAAUGAUUGGGGUGAAGUCGUAACAAGGUAGCCGUAUCGGAAGGUGCGGCUGGAUCACCUCCUUUCUA